UACGAAGGGUGCAAACGUUGCUCGGAAUCAUUGGGCGUAAAGCGCACGUAGGCGGCUUUGCAAGUCUGACGUGAAAUCCCUCAGCUCAACUGAGGAAGUGCAUCGGAAACUGCAAGGCUUGAGUACUGAAGAGGAUCGCGGAAUUCCCGGUGUAGAGGUGAAAUUCGUAGAUAUCGGGAGGAACACCGGUGGCGAAGGCGGCGACCUGGGA
rnacentral:rRNA from 1 species